UACGUAGGGACCAAGCGUUGUUCGGAUUUACUGGGCGUAAAGGGCGCGUAGGCGGCGCGACAAGUCACUUGUGAAAUCUCUGAGCUUAACUCAGAACGGCCAAGUGAAACUGUUGUGCUAGAGUGCAGAAGGGGCAAUCGGAAUUCUUGGUGUAGCGGUGAAAUGACGUAGAUAUCAAGAGGAACACCUGAGGUGAAGACGGGGUUGCUGGGCUGACACUGACGCUGAGGUGCGAAAGCGUGGGGGAGCAAACAGG
rnacentral:rRNA from 1 species